UACGAAGGGGACUAGCGUUGUUCGGAUUUACUGGGCGUAAAGGGCUCGUAGGCGGUUUGUCGCGUCGGGAGUGAAAACCCAGGGCUUAACCCUGGGCUGGCUUCCGAUACGGGCAGACUAGAGGUAUGCAGGGGGAGAACGGAAUUCCGAGUGUAGAGGUGAAAUUCGUAGAUAUUCGGAAGAACACCAGUGGCGAAGGCGACUUACUGGACACAUAUUGACGCUGAGGUGCGAAAGCGUGGGGAGCAAACAGG
rnacentral:rRNA from 1 species